rnacentral:lncRNA from 1 species
AGAAAAUCCUCCAUUAGAAACCGAGUGACCAGCUCCUUGAUCUUGGACUUACAGCUUUCCAAACUGACUACUAGAAUCCACGUGGCUGCUCUCACCCAACAGAAGCCAGCAAAUCAUUUGCUUGAUUGCAGGGAGAAAAGGGAAACAGGAAACCAGUGAGGGGGGUCCCAAGGCAAAAGAAAGGGUUUAGGUUUUUAUCAGGAGAGAUAAGAAACCCCUAGUUGACUGUGGGCAAGGGCUGGCAUGGUGUGAUUUAAAUUUUAAGAGACUCCCUCUGUCUUCUCUGUAAGUAGACUACAGAGGGCAAGAGAGAAAACAAGGGCAUGAAUUAGGAGAUCACCAAACAGUUCAUGCAACUGAUUUGGUGGCUUCCGUUGGGACAGAGCAGCGAAGUGGAUUCCAGGUAGUCAGUUUGGAAGGCUGAAAAUCCAAAGUCCUGUUGUUAUCGCAGCCCAAACUGACCAAACCAAACACCUGGCACACGAUGGUCUUGCAGCAAAUGUUUCUGACCUUCCUCUUCUCUUCUUUCCCAUCACAGGAAACAGAAACAAACAAACAAACAAAC